rnacentral:rRNA from 1 species
AAAACGUGGAACGCGGCCGCCCGGUAGGUUGAACUUAGUGUGGCUGAUCAUCCUCUCAGUGUGUGGUAGGUCAUCCUCUCAGACCAGCUAACGAACGCAGGUCGGCAUGCUUAACACAUUGCCUCACCAACUAGCUAAUCAGACGCGAAGCCCCUCCUUGUGGCCAGAGAAUUUGUCCCCCUUGGGAGGGGGACAACAGCUGGAAAUUUCACGCGUUGCUAACCCGUACCCCAUAGGCUGAGGAGCAAAAGGAGGAAUCCGCCACAAGGAGGGGCUUGCGUCUGAUUAGCUAGUUGGUGAGGCAAUGGCUCACCCGUCGCGCCAGUGAAAGCGACCAUAGCGGCUGCCCGUCAUACCGAGUACCC